UUAUUUAAUCUAAUUGGGCUUGCAAAAUAUUGGGCCUGAAGUUCUGAUGGGCCUAUUAAUAUUUCUAAUGAAUUUAGAUAGCAUAAGAUAGUUGUUUGGCUUAUUUAUUAAUUUACUGAUGAUUUUAAUAUAGAGUUACGCCUUAAUUAUUAAUUAAGCUGAGUUUAUAUUAUUUUGAGCCUAGUAAAUAUGUAUAAAGGAUUAUUAGCUAUUAGCUAAUAAUUAGUUUGAUUUAUUAAAUGGCCUAGACAUGUAGAAUUAUUUUAAUUAGUGUGAGCGGAGUUAUGAUUAACGCCCGAGUUACAAUUAUCGUAGUUUAAGUUGUGGUUUAGAUAAUAUGUUAGUAUGCUUUUAAUAAGUUAAGUUCAGAAAAGUAGAUUACUUAGAUUAGAGGAAGCAACCCUAAAGUUUCAAGAGAUAUAAGUUUCAACUAGGAAUUUUUUUCUAUUUAUUUCUUGUCUAUCUAUCCAAUCUUACCUUGGGAACCUCAUUAUAAUGAAGGUUCGAGUGGCUUUAUAAAGUGAACAAGCAAUGAUUUCUACUUCAUUAAGCGUAUCAGGUGGGCUUUCUAAACUCAGAAUUUGAAGUGCGCACUAUUUAAUGAUGUUUAUAUGAAUGAAGUUAUAUUAAAGUUAUUGACUUGUCAAAUUAUUUUAUGAGCUUGUAUGUUACCAUCUACGAGAGAUAGACGAUAUCGCCCUAUGCUGAAGCGAGAUGUCAGUAAGGGUUUGUGCACAUAUUUGUGACCGUGAGUCAUCGAGCGGGUUUGAGAAGGAGGCCUACUUCUCAACACAAGGUUACAUGAUGCGUAGUUAUGGUACAUACAUGUUAAUUGUCUGCGAACGUAUAUGAUGUUAUGAUGAUGAUAUAUAUAUAGAAGUUUUACAGUUUUGGCGUGCACAGGUUAUUUAAAUAAAACUCCUGUGUGAUGUUUGAGAUGACAAAUUUAAUAUAUAGCUCUAAGAGCAAUCUUUCAAGUUAUUUUGGCAUGGACCACUGAGUGCUUUUUGGUACUCAGUCAUGCAUAUGUUUUCUAAAUAUGCAGGUUAAGCUGUGAUGUAGAUGGAGGCGAGCAGAACAAAGCUUUUGAUGUAAUGUAUUAAAUUUGGCUCAGGAUUCCAUGUCUUCAUACAUGUAAUCCACUUAAGUUACUCCGCUGCAACGCUUCGUGCGUUUUACUUUAUUGAAGUGUUGCAAAGAUUUCAAACUAAUAUCUUAUAGAAUUAUGUCACUUGAUACUUAGACAACUUGUCGUUAUGUUAUUGUGAGUUGUCUGCUUUUGAGUUUAGAAAAGAUUGUUUAUGAUUACCAAAUAUUUUGGUAAAUUAUUGUUUAAGCAGGUUAGUAAUUUUUAUUGAGAUCUAUUUUCUUUUUCUUUUUCUUACUUUGUUUCAGUCACACUUUUGCCCGACUUAACUAUCUUUAGUUUAGGUCGGGCUGUGACACCUUGAGACACUACAUUCGCGCAAUUUUUCUGGAGCAGACUUGGGGCACGCAUACUUUGGAGUUAUUCAAGUUUUAUUUCUUUAUCAUUCUUCUAUCGCAAUUAUUUAUUUAUUUGUUUAUUUUAUUUGAUUAUGAGUUCUAGCUAAUUUCGUUUAUUCCGGCAACGAUUAGGGAAGCACUAGCAAAAUUAUUCUGUGAGAUGUAAUUGUUCUUAUACUUUAGCCAAUUGAACCGGCCAUACGUAAUCGUGGUUUAGGUUUGAUUAGUGGUAAAUUGACACAUCAUGGUCAAGGGAAAAACAGUCUUAAUUCAAUAAGCAUGUGUCACAGUUUAUUGGUUUUGAAUCGGGUUUCUCUAGUAAUUAUGCCGUCGACUCAUUAAAUCUAUAGAGCGUCUCUUACGCUUGUCAGUCAAUUAGGGUAGUAAUUAGUGAAACGUCUUUCUAAUUAACGAAUAAUUAAGGAGAAAUAAGAUCACGUCAGAAGCGUCUUCGGUGGUUAUAACUGGUUUGUUUGCAUGAUUUAAGGUUAUACUUGCAUCAACGAUCGGAAUAAUUAAGCUAGGGUUGACUUAAUUGAUUGCUGGAAUUCUUUUAUUAAUUGUUGGAUUUUUAUUCAUCUUUUGUCAAUUGGAAAAAUUGGUUUAGUUUGGAUUGUUUAUUUAUUUAUUUUUACGUUUAGUAUUUUCUAUAUAUUCUUCUCAAAUUUCGUGGGUUACAUGCAGGCUUUAAUUUGGAAAAUUCUCGCCAAUCCCUUGAGAGACGAACUUGCUUACUUCUGUCUGCGCAGUGUGGGCAUACCGGCUGACUGCCGGAUAUUUUUGGUGUAAAACGACGCACCAUUAGCCCUCUUCUAAACCCAGCGAUCAUCUUAUCUUCGGUGUCAACUAACAGUGGUCAGAUAAAGGUGUCAGUCGUCGAUGGCGGUGAAUUGAAAAAGACGAUGGCUUGGCACAGGUGAUAACAACAAUACUGUCGAAUUUUCAGAGGACGACGAUGGCAUUCAGGUAAGAAAAGAGAGAGAGAGAGAGAGAGAGAGAGAGAAUGAAAGAGAGGAGAGAAGAAAUAGAGAAAUUAGAAAUAGGUUGUAAAUAAGAAUUUAAAUUUUGGUUUACGGGCAUGUUGUAUUAAAUCCUCAAAAUCUAUAAUAAUUUAUUAAAACUAAAUUGGUGGACAACUAUAGUUUCUACCAUCAUCUAUAUUGGUUAGGUAAAAUUUCACUCUUUAAAAAGUGUGUAAAAUGUGUUUGCACCCCAUUUUCUGUUUCUUGAAUUUUCUCUCUUCGAAAUGCAAAAAACAGCACACAAUUUUCUCUGUCUUCUAAACAAAAAAGAGCAUAGAAUAAUAGUAUGUACUCGAACCAUAAAAGUUAGUACAAGAGUGGAGAUAUGUUAUUACAUAAUUGAAGGAGUACUUUAUAUUUAACAAUCUACGACAAAGAUAAAGAACUAAUUUUAUACAUCGAAGAAAAUUAUUUAAGGCAAUGCAGUGUAGUGGAUUCUUACUAGACCGGAGUAGUAACCAUCUUUUAUAUUGAUCAAGCUGUGGUGGUUCCCCUUCUCCACAAUGCAUCCAUUCCUGAACACAGCAAUCGUGUCUGCUCCCCUGAUUGUAGAUAGCCUAUGUGCUACCACAAUUGUGCUUCUGUUUACCAUUACUUUGUCAAGCGCUUCUUGAACUAUCUUCUCAGACUCAACAUCCAAUGCGCUUGUUGCUUCGUCUAGUAGCAGUAUCAUCGGCUUCUUCAUUACAGCUCUUGCAAUUGCCACACGCUGCUUUUGUCCGCCCGAUAGUUGUACCCCUCUCUCUC